rnacentral:lncRNA from 9 species
CCGGCCCGGGAGCGGCUGGGGAGGGGGAGCCCGGCAGGUGCACGGAGCCAGGAGACCCCGGCGCACGCACACCCGCCGGCGGCCUGCAGCGCGGGGCCCGGGCGAGAGCGUGACUGGAGCGAUACCAGCCGGAUGCCACUAACCCUUCGGUCAGCUCUUCCUGGGGUGGACACCUUGCUCCGAGUCUGCUGGGCUUGUUGAGGUUCCCGGCCCCCACGGUGAAUCCCUCUGGUCGCCACCAGGCCCGGAGCAGCCCUGGGGGUCCCCCAGCACACACACACCUCCCCGCCGCUGCCCAGAGGAGGACUACGGACUCAGGGGCCGGUCCUGAGGCUCCCUCUGCUCCUCGACCUGACACGUUGAAACCCAGAGGCGGUCAGGACAGUCUGCCGUGUACUCCUAUCAGGGACGCCAGCCUGAAAUGAGACUCACGGGGUGCAGGCAGAGCCAGGGCAUCCCCAAAUCUGAUGGUUUCCGGUGCCUUCGGCAGUGUGUCCUGUGCCCAGGCGAGCCCGUGUAACUAGUAGGGGACUUGUAUUCAGGCAUAGAAAGAACCACACGUCCAAUACGGAAGGGGUACAUGCUCACGAGAAGUGGGGAACACCCGAGCAGGCGUGAGCAGAGGAGCAAACGUAUGCCUGAAAUGCGUGGAAAGACCUCACCCAUGACACGGAAACGCAGACUUGAGUCAAAAUAAUACUAGGCUACAGCCACCAUACCGGCAAAGAUGAAAGCUGGCAAUAGAGAGCAAGCGAUGGAGAGGGCGUGGGCCCCAGAAUUCUGGAUCACGGCCAGCAGGACAAUAAUUUGCGACCCCUUUGGAAAGCGUGUCCCCUUGGGAAAUGCCUUGUAUUACAAGACUGUUUGUAUUCCGGAAUAAUUGUGUUUAGCAGGACGAAGCCUCCCACGUGUGGCCCAGAGGCAGACAGCAGACGUGCGCCCUGGCCGUGCUCACAGAUCCCACCAUCCGUUCCCUGGGGUGCACGAGACGCCUGGGGCUCCCCCGACGCCUGGGGCUCCCCACAUGCUGUCCGCACGUGGGGGACGUGACCGAGAGGCUGUUCAACGAUUCAGCCACUGCCACACCCAGCGUGGGUGAACCUUGGGAAUUAAACCUUGGGAAUUAAAUGUUGGCUGAGAAGCCUGCCAUGUGACUGAGCCUGAAAACGGGGGGCUGAGGCGCGUGUAGCUGUGCAAUGCUGUGUGUGAGCGUAUUUAGCACUGCAUACACACAUGAAUCCAUUCAGGGGCCCGGGUGCGAGAGCGCAGCUCGGAGCUGGAGGACCGCGGCUGGAUGAGGCCACCAUUCAAAGUCAGUGCCUGGAGGAAGGGACACCCUCGGGAGAAGGCAGCCGUGGCCGGUGGGGGAUGGACCACUCCUCAGGCGGGCUGCUGGCUCUCUGGGCCUCACUGUCCUCCUCAGAGAGCAGGUCUCAAGUCACGUCUCAUGGAGAUAAGCAGCGACAUUGUUACGACAAAGUAUGUAAAACCAGCUGUAAGCUAAGCGUAAUAAAUAUUACACAGAGAUGUAAGUCACUGCUUCUGCCUGCCGAGGGUAUAUGCAGAGACCCAGCCCCGCCACCAGCCGUACACGGAUGUGGCUCUCGGUGUUUUAAACCAUCAGGGUCCUAACAGGGGAAGGCUCUGCCUGUGCAAACCCGCCACCAUGGGGGCUGUGACAGCGUUACCAACCAGCAACGCAGGCCUGUGAAGAAGCGGGACCGGGGAGGGUCCAGGCGGCCGAGCUGGCACAGCCCCAGAGCAGGUCCCGGGUUCCUCCCGCCGCCUGUCUGUCCGCAGCCUCGGAAACGCAGGCACGCAUUCCAGAGAGCUGAGAGCAUUGCAGACUGGUGGUUCGUUAGAGUUGCAUACAUGGAUAAGCCCACCUAUUUUUGCUUUCGAGAAUUCCACUUCUAUUUUUGGUGGAAUAUAAAAGCUUUGACUAUUUCCCAAAGUGGAAAAACACAUUUUUUUUCCUUGAAUGUCUUACGGAUCACGGUUGCCGUUAAAUAAAUGCUUCCCGUCUGGAUGGGCUCAGCGGCCCCCUCCCGAUUCCCCGAGCAGGAGCUGGCUGUGUGGGCUCUGCCUUCACUCGAUUUAGAUCAGUUUUGAUGCUUUGGUUCUUAACCCGGAUCCCAGUAGGUAGAUUUGCAUGAAGGCAUUCGCCAUGCCCACCCCUCUGUUCUGUGACAGAGGACAGCAAGGAAGCCCUCUGCAAAGUCCAGGUCCCAGACCUGCCUGGGGAGGGGGGGAGGGGGAGGGGAGGGGAGGGGAGGGAGGGGAGGAGAGGGAGCAGGAGGGGGCAGCUUGCCCUCUCACUCCCUGCACAGGUGCUCAGGUUAUGAAAGGGAGUCUCACUGGCUAUUUCAGGGAGCCCUGAGCCCCCAGCCCCCGGCGUGCUGGUAAGUGUGCAGAAAAUGUGCCCAGCUUUCUCACUCCCACUAGCCUGUCAGGCUCCGUCACAGCCGGGUAAUGGGCAGGAGGAUUUCAGCUUAAUUAUUAGACAUUUCUAGAAAGUGACAGAACCUUUAACACAACAGUCACUCUACAUGUACCCCACCACCUCCCGCUGAAAAAGCCUGCCGUGAGUUUGCCAGAAAAGCCAGCCCUCUGUCCCUCCCAGCAGCUCACCUGCUGCCCCGAGAUGCCCACGGUUCCCACGAGGUUGAGCGCUGCAGCCAUGGAGCCCCAAACACAUUAGAGCAACCGUCCCCAGAAAGUCGCCUUCUGGUCAAGCCCUCCUUCCCGCUGACCCCGCGUGGGCCUGUUUCUGGACCCCAUUCUGCUCCACUGAGCUGUGUGUUGUCACCGCCACCAGCUGCCUCAGUCCCUGAGGCUCUGCCACAGGCGGAGCUGCAGUCCGCCCCCCACCGAUUCCAGCCUGGUUCAUGGGGUCUUUGAGGUUUCCUGUGUCUGCAUCUAAGUCAAGCUGCCUGGAAGGACACACGGGCUUCUUCUAUUUCCGUUUCUCACCUGGUCGCACCGGCCGGGGCUCACGUGCCUGCUGCAGGUGUCCCGGGUCCCGGGAAAGGGCAGGUGGAGGGCAGGCUGGCAGGGCGCCUUGCAUUCGCGUGACGCCCGAGAGCCCGGCUGGCUAGGUAAUUUGCAGGGCCCGGUGACCCAUGAAAGUGUGGCGCCCUCGUUCGGAAAGCAGGGAAAGCGUCCUUCCAGUCUCUGCGUCGCUGUCUCUCUCCUGGUCGUGGUGUUUCUCACUCGUUGCUGCAGGUCACCCCCCUCAGGCUCGGGAACAGCUGCAGGACAAAGGCAGCCGCCCGUAGGUGCCAGGGUCCCCCACUGGCAGCUUGGCAUCCUGGGCACAUACACCCACCCCACCCCUCCCAGCCUGCGCGUCCACAUCCCCAGCAGAGCAGAGGUGUCCCGGCACAGGCCAGGGGCGGCCACGGUGAACCCAGCUCCAAGCCCUGCACACACUUCACUCGCAAAACACAGAUUCAACAAUAAAAUUAUUAAGACUCAAGAUGGCACACACAUAUCCUUAAAACCACUGGCACGGUCCUCCCGGCAGGACCCCGAGCCUGGCCCCCCGAAGUGGGUGCAGUGCAGCCCACUGGGAGAGCUUUUACAGAACACGUGGAGAUCUGGGGUCCCACUUUGAUGGCAGGUCCUGUGCAGCACGGUGCGUCUACCUCUCCAAAGACAGCAGUCCGGAUCUAUGCGAUUCCUCUCGCGAGCAUUUACUGAGAGCUGCCAUAAGAGGAACACCAGGAAUCGCCAGCGACAGAGACGAAUAAGACGCCACUGGCUCCCUGCACACCAGAGACGGGCCACCGCGGCUGGCGCUGCGCUCAGGGUCCCGAACCCGCCUGCUCUCCAGGACGCGGCCUCUCACACUGACGACCACGUGCUCUGGGCCCGGCUUCUGCGGAUGACAUAGACCCUCAGGGGCCCAUGUAACUCGUCCUGGUCACACAUCUGGGGAGAGACGGCAGCGAGGCUAGAGCAGAGCAGCCGCAGUAGCCCUGCCUGCUCCCCCACUCCCCCCGUGCCCUCGCCCCCAGGUUGGCCAGCCACGGGUGGCAGAGCCAUGCUGUGGGCACACAGGAGACUGCACUGGUACCUUGCUUGUUCAGAUCAUGGAGGACUUCUUGGAGGAGGUGACAUUUGCGCUGAGUCUUAAAGGGUUAGUAGUCAUUCUUCCUGGUCCACGAGAGGCCUGGGGGAGAGCACGUAGGACGGCACAGUGACCAGAGCCUGGACAGGCCUGAGAGAGCCAGCCGCUGCCCACCACUCCUGGGGUAGGUGAGGGCACCCUGGUAGGUAGGGCGGGGACCACCGAGGCCAGAGGUCUGAGGAGAAGAAGGUGGCCGACGCCUGACCACUAGGUCCAGAAAGCUGCUUCGAAUCCCACCUCCCCUCUCAGCUGCUGAACUGCGACGUGCCCCUUGCCUUGGCGGCGCCCCCCUCCCGCCCCCCAGCGCCCCCCGCCCGUCCUCUGCCUUCUCACACAAAGGGCAGCACUGUGACCCUCUCCUGCCCCUCGGUCUGGCCACUUAUCUCCAAGCCCCAGAGUCACCCAGACCAGGGCCCGUCUGCGGCCCCGCCGCCCUCUCCCAGAUGCGCGCAUUCAGGCUUUUCCAGGGUUUUGCAAGCAGCCGCCGUGCGGUGACUCUGCACAGGCGACUUCGUUCUGCUGGAGGCGCCUUCAGGGCGGAUCCCGGGAGGCGAGACCGGCAGGCCCGAAUGUAAGCGGGCGUGUGGUUCGGUGCAGCCCAGCCUCCCUCCGGAAGGCAUGCGGGACAUCUUGCCCCACCGGACACGAGGCUGCGCCCCCCGGCCGCGUUCACACAAUGCUGUCGUACGUGCCAGGGCUGCCAGGCUGCACCUGAGAAACCGCAUCUCAGCGUUGCUUUAAUUCGGAUGCUUUAGUUACGGCAGCGUGAGCAUUUUCCAGGUAUUACAGGCCAUUGAACGACCUGAUCUUUGCCUCUUUUUCUGUCUGGUUUUUGAUCCUCUGUCCUUCAAUUUGAAAGGGUUCUUUCUGCAUUAGGGGUCUUGGUCCUUCAUGAGUUGUGAGUGAGGCUACUCAUACUUCCUCCUAGUGUUUCAGUGGUUUGUUGAUUUUGUUCACGUUGUUUUUUCCUCUGCAAAAACCUCAUGUCUUAUUCUCCUUCUUGGUGGCAGAGUUUGAAAGCCCUUGCCUCAUGCAGGUGAGACGGGCCUUCCCCAGGCCGUCGAGGGGUCCUGAGCGCCUCCCUGUUGACGCCAGACUCCCUUCCAGCAGGAGCCAGCCCCGUCAGGUGUGAACGACCUGUUUGGGGGGGGAUGUGCCUUAUGAGAGGAGGUGGGAGACCGCAGUAUCCUCUUACUCACUGACUGCCUCCCCCUCCCAGGCUCCCUUUGUUUCCCCAAAGGUGUAGGGAUGGAUUUCCAAGCGAAACGACCUGAAGGCACAGAAGCUGCUCCUGUCUCUGUCCCGCCCGCUGGACGGCCCCCUGCAGGCUGACCACCCCUUCCUGGCAGGUCUCCAGCCACACGUGCCGUUGGUCCCAGGCCCCCGCCCGCCCUUCUCCAGUCCUUUGACCAACCUCCCAAGACACCGGAUCUACCGUCCCCAGACUCCGCACUCACUCGGGCUCCCUCGGC